GUAGUACUCCCUCCGUCCCAAAAUUCUUGUCUUAGAUUUGUCUAGAUACGGAUGUACUUAAUACUAAAAUGUGACUUGAUACAUCCGUAUUUGGACAAAUCUAAGACAAGAAUUUUGGGACGGAGGGAGUAGUUG
rnacentral:pre_miRNA from 1 species